rnacentral:lncRNA from 1 species
UGAUAGACUUUAGGUUUAGGUAGUUGGCAUCUUCAUCGUGCCGGUCGUCGGUAAUAGGUUACGAUAAUGAUUCUAAGUGGUGGAAAGGAAGGUAGAGUUUGAUUUUAGGUUUUGUAUACCAUUAGAUAUUAUGAGUUUGUAAUAAUUUGCAUUGUUGGAUGUUGUGAGUUGAUUGUGUUUAUGUUUUCUAGCUGGCGUGCCAUACUGGGUCCCCAGGACCCGACAUACUGCCGUUGGAUAAUGUAUGAUUUAGAAAGGAGCUGGUUUGGGAUGUCA